UCACAAUUUUUAGAUUUCAUAAUCGGAAAAAUAUGAAAGAAUUAAAGAUAAACGUAAAAGUGUUUACAAAUCCAAUCAUUAUAUUUUUUUUUAAUCAGUAGGAUAGAGUUGAUAUAUAAAACAGUAGUAAGCAUUCAGCAUCAUUUCAUUGCGAAAGUAUACUUGUUACCGCGAGUUACCAGUUUAAACUCUUUUAUAAAUCGAAAAAAAAAAAAAAUAUAAAUGAUCGGAUGUUUGCAUAAAAGAUUUUUAUCGAUUAUAUUUGAACAAUGAAUAAAAAUUAAAAGAAAAAGCAUUAGUUUAAUCAGUUUAUUCAAAAAGUGUGAAGUUUAAAAAUAAAAGUACAAGACAAUCAUAUAAAUAUAUAACAGAUAUUUAUUAAUUUUUAAAGUGAAGAAAUUGAAAUUAGCAAAAUGAAAAUUUUGUUUUUAUUUUUAUUGUUUAUCAUCACUGGAUAUGCAGCUCCUUGGUUUGAAAUUAUUUUUGGCAAACAACAAGACUAUAUUUAUCAACCAUUGAAUUAUAAAAAUCAACAAUCAAGGCGACAACAAGGAAAAAGAGGAGAAGAAAGAUGGAAAGAAAUUUGUAGAACAAUAAAUGCUGAUCCUUAUGCUUUUCCAGAUCGAAUACCUUAUCCUUCUGUACCAAUUUGUCCUUAAAUAAUUAAAUUAUUUAAUAAUUAUUUAAAUAUGCGUUAAAAAUAUGAAUUUAUUGUAACAAUAUCAGAGAAUACACAAAGAUAUUCACUGGU